AUGAUGACUCUCGGCAACGGAUAUCUCGGCUCUUGCAUCGAUGAAGAACGUAGCGAAAUGCGAUACCUGGUGUGAAUUGCAGAAUCCCGUGAGCCAUCGAGUCUUUGAACGCAAGUUGCGCCCGAGGCCACCCGGUCGAGGGCACGCCUGCCUGGGCGUCACUC
rnacentral:rRNA from 1 species